CUGUUUCCGGAGUCUGUACGGUGGGAUCCCAUCUCUGCCAGAACAAAGCAACAACACACCCUGCUUUAGUGCCCUCCAUGAGAUAGUCUUCAUCAAUAUUUACAGGAUGGCAGCAUUGAAACCGUCACGGGAUGAGAGGAAUGCAACUGAAGUGGAGCUCAGUUAUGAGAUAAGGAAAUGGCUCACAUCCUAACGAAACGGGGUUAUGCUGAGAAAAAUCAGCUAGUGCAAAACCAAAUGCUACCUUAGAGCUCAGCAAUUUGGAAUGCUCCUCUUUUAAUUUACAGCUUUUGCUUAUUCAACGACUGCAAUGCCGCAGAAAUUAAACGCGUUAAAAGAAAAUAAAACCUAUGAUUAAUGACAAGA